rnacentral:rRNA from 1 species
AGGUCGAGUCAUUAUGGCCCAUGCGUGGAGCGAUCCAUCAGUUACAAUACCUGGUUCACUAUCCGUCGUCUAGGCGGUCCAUUGAACACUAGGUCUACGAAUGAGCGGUUGAAAUGCCCCUCUGAAGUUGGAAUCGUUAGUAACCCUAUGGUUAGUUAUACUAGGGUGAAUAAGAGAUAAGUUGCGUUCAUACUGCCCGUCAAGCAAGUAAAGGUCCCCGGGAAUACAGGUUUUCGAUAAUCUCCCACACGGACCGAUAAGUGUUAAGUCGAAACAUGGUAGGUUAAACGGAAGUUG